rnacentral:rRNA from 1 species
AGAGUUUGAUCAUGGCUCAGGAUGAACGCUGGCGGCGUGCCUAAGACAUGCAAGUCGAGUGGGUUUAGACCCACGGCGAACGGGUGAGUAAUACCUAGGAAUGUAUCGCAAGUUGAGCAUAUCCCACCGAAAGGUGGAGCAAUUCUCAAUGUGACCGCAAGGUUAAAGUCGCAAGACGCUUGUGAAGCAGCCUGGGCACCAUCAGCUAGUUGGUAAGGUAAAGGCUUACCAAGGCUAUGACGGUUAGGGGCCCCGAGAGGGGAAACCUCCACACUGGAACUGCGACACGGUCCAGACUCCUACGGGAGGCAGCAGUUUGGAAUUUUGGACAAUGGGCGAAAGCCUGAUCCAGCGACGCCGCGUGGACGAUGAAGGUCUUCGGAUCGUAAAGUCCUUUUGCUUGGGAACAAUUUUUGAGUGUACCAAGAGAAUAAGAGGUUGCUAACUCUGUGCCAGCAGCAGCGGUAAUACAGAGACCUCAAGCGUUAUCCGGAAUCAUUGGGCGUAAAGCGUACCGAUCGGUGGUUUUACAAGUCAGAAGUGAAAUUCCAAGGCUCAACUUUGGGACUGUCUUUUGAAACUGUAAAACUAGAGGGGCAAAGAGGAAGCUGGAACGAGCGGUGUAGUAGUGAAAUGCGUUGAUAUCGUUCGGAACACCAAUAGCGAAGGCGGGCUUCUGGGUGCCACCUGACACUGCUAGGACGAAAGCGUGGGGAGCGAAUGGGAUUAGAUACCCUAGUAGUCC